CUUCUAUUUUCUUAAUUUGAAUUGCAUAAACUGUGCAGCUCCUUAUGCAACCUUCUAUGACCUUCAAAUUCAUUAAUUUUUAAACCUCAUUUUUAGCAUCUUUGAGCUUGAAUUUCAUUCUCCAAACAUGCAAUUAACUUCUAACUCCUCAAAAACACAAAUUAACCUAUAAAACAAGAACAAAUUCACAAAAUUAAACUAAAAAUUAACCAAUAUGAAAAAAUAAUUAAAUAACUAAUGAAAUGAAUUAAAAUUAAUCAAUAAAAUGAUAAAAUGACUAUAA
rnacentral:misc_RNA from 1 species